GCCGGCCUGCAAAGUUUGUGCUGGUGAUCACCGUUAUUUGAACCAACAUUCAAAUGAACGGGAGCCCGACUCGAAUCGGCCUGGUGUGCAACGUUCCGUCAUGCGGAAAUGCCUAAAGGGCUGCGGAGGGCGCCCAAACUGUCUAACGACAGGUUCAUUAGCGGCUCACCUCACGGCCCCGUGGGUCGGCU
rnacentral:other from 1 species